UACGGGAGGCAGCAGUGGGGAAUAUUGGACAAUGGGGGGAACCCUGAUCCAGCCAUGCCGCGUGUGUGAAGAAGGCCUUUUGGUUGUAAAGCACUUUAAGCGAGGAGGAGGCUACUAGUAUUAAUACUACUGGAUAGUGGACGUUACUCGCAGAAUAAGCACCGGCUAACUCUGUGCCAGCAGCCGCGGUAAU
rnacentral:rRNA from 1 species